UUUUGAAGAACUAUUUAACCAUGAUGAAGCUUUGCAGUGUCCUGGUGCUGUCAGAGACAACUACAGUGAGUGUGUGCCAACGGAGAUUGAAAUCAUCUGCCUGGAAAAGGCAGAAAAUCAGAAUGCUGAGGACACAAUGACUCACAGCAAGGGCUCAAAACAAGACAGCCGCAGAACAUCCUCAUCUCUGGGAACCUCCAGUGAAGAAUCCUCUAACCAGACAGAUAGAUUCAGCUUCCCUAUGGACAAUAGUGCAUACGUGAUCUGGUGAGGAAAAGAGAAGGUCUUCUGGUUUUACUUUCAUGUCUAAAGACCAGAAAAAUACAGGAGUGUGACAGCUGAGACCCAAGACAGUACAACGGAGCAGCCUGUAACCUAAACUGUGUAAAUCUGGAGUAUGCCGUAAGACUCUGGCAUCAGAAACACUAAAAAUCUGUUUACGAGCCUACAAGUUUUCUGUGCUUUUGUGUAGUGAUACAUCUAACAUUUUUCUUUUUAACGUAUAUUUCAAAGCAGAGGUUCCCAGAUUGCUGUUUGUGGGUCCCUCAGAGACCUCACACACUGUCUAGCCUGGAAAUCUUUCUGCCCAGGAUGAGUUGUUUCCUGGACAAUCAAUAAUCAGCUUUGCUCUUUAACUUAAAGCUGUUGAAGCUGUAAGAGCUGAAGCUCUUAAAGCUGUUGAACUUCAGCUGUAUUGUUUGUAAAAUUUCAGUAUCAGGUUUAGAGGAAUGUGCUAUAUUUUCUAGGUUUAUUUAUGCUUAAAACAGGACUUCCAACGUUGAUAGUUAAGCAAAGAGAUACAGUUUAUCGU
rnacentral:lncRNA from 1 species